AUUGAACGCUGGCGGCAUGCUUUACACAUGCAAGUCGAACGGUAACAGGCCGCAAGGUGCUGACGAGUGGCGAACGGGUGAGUAAUGCAUCGGAACGUGCCCAGUCGUGGGGGAUAACUACUCGAACGAGUAGCUAAUACCGCAUACGAUCUAUGGAUGAAAGCGGGGGACCGUAAGGCCUCGCGCGAUUGGAGCGGCCGAUGUCAGAUUAGGUAGUUGGUGGGGUAAAGGCUCACCAAGCCAACGAUCUGUAGCUGGUCUGAGAGGACGACCAGCCACACUGGGACUGAGACACGGCCCAGACUCCUACGGGAGGCAGCAGUGGGGAAUUUUGGACAAUGGGCGCAAGCCUGAUCCAGCAAUGCCGCGUGCAGGAAGAAGGCCUUCGGGUUGUAAACUGCUUUUGUACGGAACGAAACGGCUCUGGUUAAUACCCGGGGCUAAUGACGGCACCGUAAGAAUAAGCACCGGCUAACUACGUG
rnacentral:rRNA from 1 species